GACGAACGCUGGCGGCGUGCUUAACACAUGCAAGUCGAGCGGUAAGGCCCUUUCGGGGGUACGACGAGCGGCGAACGGGUGAGUAACACGUGGGUGACCUGCCCUCAGCUCUGGGAUAAGCCUGGGAAACCGGGUCUAAUACUGGAUAUGACUCCAUGACGCAUGUUGUGGGGUGGAAAGCCUUGUGCGGCUGAGGAUGGGCCCGCGGCCUAUCAGCUUGUUGGUGGGGUGAGGCCUACCAAGGCGACGACGGGUAGCCGGCCUGAGAGGGCGACCGGCCACACUGGGACUGAGACACGGCCCAGACUCCUACGGGAGGCAGCAGUGGGGAACCUUGCGCAAUGGGCGAAAGCCUGACGCAGCGACGCCGCGUGAGGGAUGACGGCCU
rnacentral:rRNA from 1 species